GCUCUAAGUUAGGUAAAGUUGCUCCAUAAUAGGUAAAGUUGCUCUAUAUCAAAGUUGCUCCAUAAUAGGUAAAGUUGCUCUAUAUCAAAGUUGCUCCAGAAUAGGUAAAGUUGCUCUAUAUCAAAGUUGCUCCAUAAUAGGUAAAGUUGCUCCAUAAUAGGUAAAGUUGCUCCAUAAUAGGUAAAGUUGCUCUAUAUCAAAGUUGCUCCAGAAUAGGUAAAGCUGCUCUAUAUUAAAGUUGCUCCAUAAUAGGUAAAGUUGCUCUAUAUUAAAGUUGCUCUGUAUUAGAAGAAUAA